rnacentral:rRNA from 1 species
AGUGCCAGCAGCCGCGGUAAUACGAGAGGUCCGAGCGUUACGCGGAAUUACUGGGCUUAAAGCGUACGUAGGCGGAUCUACAGGUAUCCUGUGAAAGCCCACGGCUCAACCGUGGAAUUGCAGGGUAAACCGUAGAUCUUGAGGUGGCUAGGGGCUCUCGGAACGGUAGGUGGAGUGGUGAAAUGCGUUGAUAUCUACCGGAACGCCAAAGGGGAAGCCAGGGAGCUGGGGCCAUUCUGACGCUGAGGUACGAAAGCGUGGGUAGCGAACGGGAUUAGAUACCCCGGUAGUCCACGCCGUAAACGAUGUGCACUAGGUCGAGGGGGUUUGACGCCGCUCUCGGCUGAAGCGAAAGUGUUAAGUGCACCGCCUGGGGAGUACGGCCGCAAGGCUAAAACUCAAGGAAUUUGACGGGGGCUCACACAAGCGGUGGAGCAUGUGCUUAUUCGAAGCAACGCGAAGAACCUUAUCCUGGUUUGACAUGCAUGGAUUAGCUUCUGAAAGGGAAAGUGACGCGCUUGCCGUGGACAUGCACAGGUGCUGCAUGGCUGUCGUCAGCUCGUGCUGUGAGUGUCGGUAAGUCCUACGAGCGCACCCCUAUCACUAGUGCUAGCGAGUAAUGUCAAGAACCCUAAGUGAAACGGGCCGGGUGUC